GUCUUUUCUUGAUAGAUUGUCAAAACAAUCCCAGGAUUGCCUUUCAAGGAAAAUCCAGCAGUUCACACAGACAGGCUUCAGCAGUGCUUAAAUUCCGAUCCUUUGAACACACAUAGAACUGAAAAUGAGCAACAGAUCACAGAAACAUAGACUCACUGAGGCUGUAAGGGACCACUGAGAAUGGCUCACACAGCUCCAAGUUGUACAGCCUUGUAUGGACAGUGAAAGAACCGCUGUGUUACUCAAAAUACUGGCUUUUACCCGCAGUAAUCUUCAGAAGGUGCUGACAUUCACUAAUUCAGGAGAUGAGGCAGAAAUGGUUCAUCGGGUGAGCAUCAUUUUACACAGAAUGCAGGGAGGGCUCUACUCCAGCACACCUCCUCCUCUCUUUCAUCACUGACCUUGGAGUCUGCAUGGUUGUUUCUCUCACUGUUCCUACUCCUUGCACCACCACCAGCCAGAAGAAGACAGGGCAGAAGAAAGAAGAAUGGAGGAAGAAACCUCCUCUUCAGGCUUCUUGUUACAAAGUGAUGGUGGAGGUGUCUCAUUGGCUCAGCCCCAGCAGUGGGUCUGGCUCAGAGCUGGGGAGAGCUGCAAGCAACUUCUUCCAGGAGUCAUCUUUACAGCC